UCGUCAGCUCGUGUCGUGAGAUGUUGGUUAAGUCCCGCAACGAGACGCAACCCCUAUUGUUAGUUGCCAUCAUUCAGUUGGGCACUCUAGCGAGACUGCCGGUAAUAAACCGGAGGAAGGUGGGGAUGACGUCAAAUCAUCAUGCCCCUUAUGACCUGGGCUACACACGUGCUACAAUGGUUGGUACAACGAGUUGCGAGUCGGUGACGGCGAGCUAAUCUCUUAAAGCCAAUCUCAGUUCGGAUUGUAGGCUGCAACUCGCCUACAUGAAGUCGGAAUCGCUAGUAAUCGCGGAUCAGCACGCCGCGGUGAAUACGUUCCCGGGCCUU
rnacentral:rRNA from 1 species